CCCGCCCGUCACACCAGUGGGAGUUUAACUGCACCAGAAGCAGGUAGCCUAACCCGACCAAGGAAGUGGCGCCUACCACGGUCGUAGGUCGAUGUACGUGGGUGGA
rnacentral:rRNA from 1 species